rnacentral:rRNA from 1 species
AUUGAACGCUGGCGGCAAGCCUAACACAUGCAAGUCGAGCGAGCGGCGGGCGUGUGAGUAAUGUAUGGGGCUCUGCCCGAUGGAGGGCGUUAACUACCGGAAACGGUGGCUACUACCGCCUACUUUCGGAUGAACCCAUAUGGGAUUAGCUUGUAGGUGGGGCAAAGGCUCACCUAGGCGACGAUCUCUAGCUGGUCUGAGAGGAUGAUCAGCCACACUGGAACUGAGACACGGCCCAGACUCCUACGGGAGGCAGCAGUGGGGAAUAUUGCACAAUGGGCGAAAGCCUGAUGCAGCCAUGCCGCGUGUGUGAAGAAGGCCUUAGGAUUGUAAAGUACUUUCAGCUGGGAGGCGUUACCCGCAGAAGAAGCACCGGCUAACUCCGUGCCAGCAGCCGCGGUAAUAC